rnacentral:rRNA from 1 species
UACGAACUGUGCGAACGUUAUUCGGAAUCACUGGGCUUAAAGGGCGCGUAGGCGGGUGGGCAAGUCUGCGGUGAAAUCCUCCAGCUUAACUGGAGAAGUGCCGUGGAUACUGCUUACCUGGAGGAGGGUAGGGGCAUCUGGAACGUUGGGUGGAGCGGUGAAAUGCGUUGAUAUCCAACGGAACUCCGAUGGCGAAGGCAAGGUGCUGGACCCUUUCUGACGCUGAGGCGCGAAAGCCAGGGGAGCGAACGGG